rnacentral:rRNA from 1 species
GACGAACGCUGGCGGCGUGCUUAACACAUGCAAGUCGAACGGAAAGGCCCUGCUUUUGUGGGGUGCCCGAGUGGCGAACGGGUGAGUAACACGUGAGUAACCUGCCCUUGACUUUGGGAUAACUUCAGGAAACUGGGGCUAAUACCGGAUAGGAGCUCCUGCUGCAUGGUGGGGGUUGGAAAGUUUCGGCGGUUUGGGAUGGGCUCGCGGUUUAUCAGCUGGUUGGUGGGGUAGUGGCUUACCAAGGCUUUGACGGGUAGGCGGCCUGAGGGGGUGACCGGCCACAUUGGGACUGAGAUACGGCCCAGACUCCUACGGGAGGCAGCAGUGGGGAGUAUUGCACAAUGGGCGGAAGCCUGAUGCAGCAACGCCGCGUGCGGGAUGACGGCCUUCGGGUUGUGAACCGCUUUCGCCUGUGACGAAGCGUGAGUGACGGUAAUGGGUAAAGAAGCACCGGCUAACUACGUG